UAGACUUUUGGCAAACAAUGAUAGCGGAAUUUCUUAUUAAUUUUUGUUCGAAUAACGACGACAAAAGAGAAAUCGGAAAGAGGAAUUGUUCCUUUUUCUUUUGAGACUCCGAUUAGAAGUUUUUGGAAAAAAAUGUUGUUUUAAAAACUAUCAUAUAAUAUCUAUAAAUAAUUGGUUUAUUCACGUUGAGAUUUUCUCAUGUUUCAAAUGGGAUUUAUGUAAGUUCUAGCGUGCAGUUUAAGUUUCAAUGAGUACAACAUAAGAUCUUUAAAGGGAAUAGACGUUACGCCUUUUAUUUAAUGAACUUGACAAUGAAAGCAGUGGCCGUCGCGUAACGCACAACUCGAACGCGACGCACGCACACUUUUAAGGACACAAGCUGUGAGUUAGCGGAGUGGUUCACGGCCGGCCGAAAAUCCGAAGACCUUCGCACUAACACUCGCAUAUUUUAUUUGUUAUUAAUUUUUUUUUUUUAUGGUACAUUCCCCUUAUUUACGCACACGUGUGUCCGCCUCUCCUAUGUUUUAAGCUCCAAAAACCGACGGUCCUCAGAUGUAUCAUGCGCGCGUAACUGAUACGCAUAAACGUGUGCGACACAGAAAUAACAAAGAAAUAAAUUGCGUUUCGGAAGUGUUAUGUAUUUAAAUGCGUCUUAACAGUAUUUGACGAAUGGGUAAAAAAUUAAACACGUCCGGAAUAAUUUACCAAAGUGUUAAAUGACAAUUUAAGUCGUUAAACUGUUUAUUAUAAACAGUUAACAGGGCGCCUAAAUAAUUGAUCUGUCUCAGCUUUUGUUGUCUCUAAAAGUAAUCGUUUUUAUAAUAAACUGUGUUGUAUAAAAUUCUUAUUAUCAAGAUUAAACUGUUUGUGUUAUACGUAUAUAACGAUACAGCUAAUAACUUCGACAUAGAAAUGGACCAGCCCAGCUUGUCAACAAAGUGCAACCAUUUGUCAUUCGCUCUCAACGGAGCACGUCUAAAUAAAUUAAAAUACACGAAGCUAACAGAGAGGAUGAGUAAGAUUAAGGACGUAAAAAGCGAAAGUGGAUUUUCGGACGAUUCUAAAUAUUCAAAAAUAUUAAAAAGCGUGAAAAAUCGCUUGACGUCCAAAACGAGCACUAACGUGUCAAUUGAUCCGGAAGACUCCGUGGAAAAAUCUGCAGUUGACACUGCGUGGAAACAUAAGUUUCCCGAGCGUCAAUCUAAUGUACGUUCAAACAAAGAUACGAUGAUAUCACAGCGGGAGUCGCACAACCGUUCUGGUAGUAGAGGUUGGUGGUCACGUGUGUAGCCGUCUAAAUAGAUUGAUAUAUCGGCUUAUGCUUUAUAAAUAGUUGAUUUUUUUUUAUGAUUUAAUGUACAUCAAUACAAGGCCAGAUUAAAAGUGAAUAGAAAAUUAAA